rnacentral:rRNA from 1 species
AUGAACGCUAGCGACAGGCUUAACACAUGCAAGUCGAGGGGCAGCGAGGGUAGCAAUACCCGCCGGCGACCGGCGCACGGGUGAGUAACGCGUAUGCAACUUGCCUAUCAGAGGGGGAUAACCCGGCGAAAGUCGGACUAAUACCGCAUGAAGCAGGGGCCCCGCAUGGGGAUAUUUGCUAAAGAUUCAUCGCUGAUAGAUAGGCAUGCGUUCCAUUAGGCAGUUGGCGGGGUAACGGCCCACCAAACCGACGAUGGAUAGGGGUUCUGAGAGGAAGGUCCCCCACAUUGGUACUGAGACACGGACCAAACUCCUACGGGAGGCAGCAGUGAGGAAUAUUGGUCAAUGGCCGAGAGGCUGAACCAGCCAAGUCGCGUGAGGGAUGAAGGUUCUAUGGAUCGUAAACCUCUUUUAUAAGGGAAUAAAGUGCGGGACGUGUCCCGUUUUGUAUGUACCUUAUGAAUAAGGAUCGGCUAACUCCGUGCCAGCAGCCGCGGUAAUACGGAGGAUCCGAGCGUUAUCCGGAUUUAUUGGGUUUAAAGGGUGCGUAGGCGGCCUUUUAAGUCAGCGGUGAAAGUCUGUGGCUCAACCAUAGAAUUGCCGUUGAAACUGGGGGGCUUGAGUAUGUUUGAGGCAGGCGGAAUGCGUGGUGUAGCGGUGAAAUGCAUAGAUAUCACGCAGAACCCCGAUUGCGAAGGCAGCCUGCCAAGCCAUUACUGACGCUGAUGCACGAAAGCGUGGGGAUCAAACAGGAUUAGAUACCCUGGUAGUCCACGCAGUAAACGAUGAUCACUAGCUGUUUGCGAUACACUGUAAGCGGCACAGCGAAAGCGUUAAGUGAUCCACCUGGGGAGUACGCCGGCAACGGUGAAACUCAAAGGAAUUGACGGGGGCCCGCACAAGCGGAGGAACAUGUGGUUUAAUUCGAUGAUACGCGAGGAACCUUACCCGGGUUUGAACGCAUUCGGACCGAGGUGGAAACACCUUUUCUAGCAAUAGCCGUUUGCGAGGUGCUGCAUGGUUGUCGUCAGCUCGUGCCGUGAGGUGUCGGCUUAAGUGCCAUAACGAGCGCAACCCUUGCCACUAGUUACUAACAGGUAAAGCUGAGGACUCUGGUGGGACUGCCAGCGUAAGCUGCGAGGAAGGCGGGGAUGACGUCAAAUCAGCACGGCCCUUACAUCCGGGGCGACACACGUGUUACAAUGGCGUGGACAAAGGGAGGCCACCUGGCGACAGGGAGCGAAUCCCCAAACCACGUCUCAGUUCGGAUCGGAGUCUGCAACCCGACUCCGUGAAGCUGGAUUCGCUAGUAAUCGCGCAUCAGCCAUGGCGCGGUGAAUACGUUCCCGGGCCUUGUACACACCGCCCGUCAAGCCAUGGGAGCCGGGGGUACCUGAAGUCCGUAACCGAAAGGAUCGGCCUAGGGUAAAACUGGUGACUGGGGCU